ensembl:lncRNA AFDN-DT AFDN divergent transcript
ACUAGGUGCUGCUGCCGCGGCCGCCAGGGAGGGAGGUGUCGGAGGGCGGGCCCCGCGCGGUGCUAGGGUUCCGUCUGGACUGGCGGUGGUGGGUCCCAACCGGCGGUACCGGGUUCCUUCCCGACCAGCGGUGCUAGGUUCGGUUCGGACGCGCGCUGCUGGAUCUAAAUGGGCAGUGCUGGGUCCGAUGGGUGGUGCUGUGUUGGGUCCGGACGCGCGGUGCAGAGUCCGGACGGGCGGUGCUGGAUCCAAAUGGGCGGUGCUGGAUCUGGACGGGCGGUGAUGGGUCCGAUGGGCGGUGCUAUGUUCGGUUCGGACGGGCGGUGCUAGGUCUAAAUGGGCGCUGCUGGGUCCGAUGGGCGGUGCUGCGUUCGGUCCGGACGGGCGGGGACGGGCGGUGCUGGGUCCAAAUGGGUGGUGAUGGAUCUGUGGACGGGCGGUGCUGGUUCCAGACGGGCGGUGCUGGGUCCAGACGGGCGGUGGGUCCGAUGGGCGGUGCUAGGUUCGGUUCGGAUGGGUGGUGCUAGGUCUAAAUGGGCGGCGCCGGAUCCGAUGGGCGGUGCUGGGUUCGGUCCGGACUGGCGGGUCCGGGUCUGGACGGGCGGUGCUGGAUCCAAAUGGGGGUGCAGUGCUGGAUCUGGACGGGCGGUGCUGGGUCCGAACGGGCGAUGGGUCCCAUGGGCGGUGCUAGGUUCGGUUCGGACUGGCGGUGCUGGGUCUAAAUGGGCGGCGCUGGGUCCGAUGGGUGGUACUGGGUCCGGACGGGCGGUUCUGGGUCUGGACGGGCGGUGCAGUAUCCAAAUGGGCGCUGCUGGGUCCGGACGGGCGGUGCUAGGUUCGGUCCGGACGGGUGGUGCUGGGUCUAAAUGGGCGGUGCUAGGCUCAGCAGGGGACCGGUGGGCGUGGCGGCACAGGUACGGAGCGCAGGGCCGGUGGAGCGCCCUCUCCGAAGGGCCCUGCGCUCCCCGCGCUCGCUGCUCCUCCUGCCCGCGCAUUGCCCCGGGGCUGCUGCGUGUUUCUUCCAGGGUGAUUCCUUUCCGCUGGGUCACUUCAAAGCCGACCUUUUCAAGCUGUUUUCUUCCGCGGAGGACACGUUGUUAGGCUUUGUGUGCAUUUCAAGGGUCAUGUUUUCUGAACCGCGCUCUGCCGCUCUUGGGGUGUUCGAGCCCCCACACUGCUGUGCGGUGUUCCUCUCACAGAGUGAGGUUGGAGGGUCCCACUCCCUUUGUGUGUCUCCUUAGAAAACGCCUCUUCUCUCAGACACAUCGUUAUCUGCCAAUUCUUCGCAGACGUAGAGAACGGACUGCAGAGUUAAUAAACGUCGAGGGGAAGCUUUGAUGCGCCCCAUUUGGCCCUGAGAGAUGCCACGUGAUCGUCAUUUUAAAUCCUUUCCUGGGCUUCCCGAUGGACUCGAGUUUUUACUAUGUGAGCAUCCCGGUGCCUGCACAGCAAGGACUCUCAUUGGGUUCCACACGUGCUGCGCAGAUCCCUGACGCAGCGUUCACUGAACCUCAACUGCAGGAGCUUCAUUCCUGAGGACGCUGUUACCAAGAAUGACUUGCCUCUUGAAGAAUGAGUUUGCAAAGCCGGCAGUUAGAUUGCUGAUGUCCAAAGACAUGAAAAUUUCCAGGCUGACAAAUAAUUUCGCUGUCAUCGGUCAAGACUCCAGGAUGAUAUUCUGAGCCAUAUGUUAAUUUUGAUAACCACCUAGAACAAUAAAAGGUAAACAUGCUACCA